AUCAGCAGAGCGUGCCGGGCGCGCUGGUGGAUACCGGGAUUGAGGGCGGACCCCGCGGCAGGGAACGGGCCGUUCACCCUCCCGAGCAGCCCCGGCGCUCUGUAAGUAACUCGCCCCCAGUCGGGAGAGGGAAGGGCCGGGCGGCCCGGCGCGCGUCGGCCCGCGGUCGGGCUCUGCGCGCCGCUCGCGGUCCCUUUCCGCGUUGCAUCGGCGGCUCCUCCUCGCCCCGCUGGUUCAGCCCAGGAUUCGGGGGGCGGGAAGGAUCGCGGGGCAGGGGUGGGAGGUUGCCCCGGGUGGGAGGGAAGGGGAAAGGAAGACGCGCCCCCAGCUGACAGGCAAGCUUCCCAGGCGGCCACCGGGCGGCCGGGAUACCGGCCCUCCGCUAGCCCCUGGGGGCGCGCGCCCGGCCCCGCCGCCGCCGAGGACAGGAAGGGGCCAGCGUGGGGCUGGCCCCGGGGUGGGAAGCUCGGCCCACAGGCGGGGCUGCAAUUAGGCCGCCGCCGGAGCCGGGCCGCCGGCGUCCCACCUGCUGCGGGCCCGGCCGGGCGCGGCCGCCUCCUUCUUCCCGGCGGCCGGGCGUUGGGGGCGCGCGGGGCGGGAGCCGCGGCAGGUUCUCGCGCCGGCCCCGCGGGCCCCGCGGGCGCAGCAUCCUCCCCGGCGCGGUCCCCGCGGGGCCGGGAGCGCGGCGAUUGGCCGGCGCGGCCGGGGGCGGGGCCGGGCGGCCCGGUGCCUCGCGGACGCCUCAAAAGAGCCCAGGAAAGCGCAGAGCGCACUGGAGACCCAGCCCGCGCUCAGUCCGCCCCGGCGCCGGCCCGCUGGGUCUUGGGAAUUGCUGGUUCGCUUUGGCUCCCUCGCUUGUACAAACUCCUGGAUCUCACAUGCCUCUGUAACCCCCACUUCCACUCCAUGUCCCCAUGCUCCUGCGCCAGCAACAGGACCUGUUCUCUGGAUGUCAGCUGAGUUACUAAGGUGACUCUGCAUGUCAAGAGACAGACCUUGGUAGCCAGAACCUCAAGGCCCCUGGAGACCCCAUCCCUCCUUCUUUUUUUGUGCGUGUGGGUCCUCACUGAACAUUCAAACCUGUUUCUCCAAAGGGUUUUGCAAAAACUGAGACUGUUUCCCAAAGCAGAAGCGC
rnacentral:lncRNA from 1 species